UUUUUUAUCUGUAUCCUAUCGUUUAUUAAAACGUCCAAUUUUGUAAGGCGGAGUGCGUCUUGCUUUGGUGUAGUUUUAUGUUAUUAGGACUAAUAUUAUAAUUACCGCAUGACAAUGGGUCGAUCAAGAUCAAGAAGUAAAUCCCCUCGUCGUCAUCAUAAAAGUAGUAAACAUUCAAGGAAGAAAAGUCGAUCCAAAGACAGAUCCUCAUCGCGUAGUAGAAGUACAAAACAUGCCGAAAAAUCAAGAGAACGAAGUUCUAAAUCACGGAAAAGGUCGCAUUCUGUUUCAUCGUCUUCAAGUACUGGCGGAUCUUACGAUGGCAGCCGGGGUAGAAAAAAGUCAAAAGGCCGUAGUAAAAUGGAUGAAGUUGACCGUCUAGCCGAAAUGGAGAGACAAAGACGUGUUAGGGAAGCGGAACAAAAGGUAAUCAUGGUUGUUGAAGAAGAAGCUGCGAAAAGAAUUGAACUUCUUGUGAAGAAAAGAGUAGAAGAGGAAUUAGAAAAAAGAAAAGACGAAAUAGAAAGGGAAGUGGCAAAAAGAGUCGAAGAGGCAAAGCAAAAAAUGGAACAAGAAAUGAUGCAAGAACUGGAGAAACAGCGGGAACAACAGAAACGGGAGGAAAUGGCCAGACAGGUAACUACCACUAUCAUCUAUCAGUCAUAUGUAAAAGCAAUCAACCCAAAAUUGCUGUUACAUGUGACAUCUGCUAAAUCAAUCUUGCUCUUGCAGCCCAAACAUAUAAGUAUACAUCCUUGUGUUAUAUACAAAUAUAUUCUGCAACACUAAUAAUCGAAUUCUUUCGAUCAUAUCUGUUAAAGGUCCAGUCAGGUGUAGUUCGAGUUUACAAGAACUUAAAAAAUUGUCACUUGUUAAGACUAUGUAUAUAUCCAAUUAACAUGCAUAUCAUUUGCACUCACCAAAAUAGACUUGUUAUUAUACUAUAAGAAUGCCAUUAAGGCUUUCGGCUAGCAUUUUAAAAUUGUUCGCUUGACUGUCCUUGGCAGUCACGUAGUCUAUAAGUCAGGUCGGAAGACUGUGCAAGACGUGAAGCUGUAAGAAUUUUUACGGAGUUGCUGCUUGAGGAUCAGCCCCUGAAGCCGAAGGCUGAAGAGGAACGUAAAAGGAAAGAGUUGGAGGAUAUCAUGGCUGAAAAUAAUAGAAAGAUAGAAGAAGCACAACGCAAGUUGGCUGAAGAAAGGCUAGCAAUGAUAGAAGAACAGCGAAAAAUGGA